GAAAAAACCCCCCCCCCCCC
rnacentral:rRNA from 1 species